UACGUAGGGUCCGAGCGUUGUCCGGAAUUAUUGGGCGUAAAGGGCUCGUAGGCGGUUCGUCACGUCGGGAGUGAAAACUCGGAGCUUAACUCCGAGCCUGCUUCCGAUACGGGCAGACUAGAGGUAGGCAGGGGAGAGCGGAACUCCUGGUGUAGCGGUGGAAUGCGCAGAUAUCAGGAAGAACACCGGUGGCGAAGGCGGCAUCCUGGACCGGCAUUGACGCUGAGGCGCGAAAGCCAGGGGAGCAAACGGG
rnacentral:rRNA from 1 species